GGGGCUACACACGUCAUACAAUGGCCGGUACAGAGGGUAGCCAACCCGCAGGGGGAGCCAAUCCCACAAAGCCGGUCGUAGUCCGGAUCGCAGUCUGCAACUCGACUGCGUGAAGUCGGAAUCGCUAGUAAUCGCGGAUCAGCAUGUCGCGGUGAAUACGUUCCCGGGUCUU
rnacentral:rRNA from 1 species